rnacentral:lncRNA from 1 species
AGGGAGAACAAGAAAGAUCGGAUUGUAUCCAAAAUAUUUUCCUCUUUCUACUUGACAAUUCUCGGAGUAAGUUGAUGAUACUUAUUCUUUUUCUUCUUUUGACUUGUUCUUUUCUUUUCAGUUGGCACAUGACAUGCACGCUCUCGAGAGCGGAUAUCGAAAAAUUAUCGAGCUUCGUCGGGCUUGGAUAGACAAGGUCGCAGUU